GACAGAGGGGGCAAGCGUUGCUCGGAAUUACUGGGCGUAAAGGGCGCGUAGGCGGGAUGGCAAGUCGGUCGUGAAAUCCCUCGGCUCAACCGAGGAACGUCGAUCGAUACUGCUGUUCUUGAGGAUUGCAGAGGAGACUGGAAUUCCCGGUGUAGCGGUGAAAUGUGUAGAGAUCGGGAGGACACCGGUGGCGAAGGCGGGUCUCUGGGCAAUUCCUGACGCGAGGCGCGAAAGCGUGGGGAGCAAACGGG
rnacentral:rRNA from 1 species